rnacentral:rRNA from 1 species
GUGCAGCAGCCGCGGUAAUACGUAGGGUGCGAGCGUUGUCCGGAAUUACUGGGCGUAAAGAGCUCGUAGGUGGUUUGUCGCGUCGUUUGUGUAAGCCCAUGGCUUAACUGUGGGACUGCAGGCGAUACGGGCAUAACUUGAGUGCUGUAGGGGAGACUGGAAUUCCUGGUGUAGCGGUGAAAUGCGCAGAUAUCAGGAGGAACACCGAUGGCGAAGGCAGGUCUCUGGGCAGUUACUGACGCUGAGGAGCGAAAGCAUGGGGAGCGAACAGGAUUAGAAACCCGAGUAGUCC